rnacentral:rRNA from 1 species
AAACGGGUGAGUAACGCGUGGGAAUCGUACCCCUCUCUACGGAAUAACACAGAGAAAUUUGUGCUAAUACCGUAUACGUCCCUUUUGGGAGGAAAGAUUUAUCGGAGAUGGAUGAGCCCGCGUUGGAUUAGCUAGUUGGUGAGGUAACGGCCCACCAAGGCGACGAUCCAUAGCUGGUCUGAGAGGAUGAUCAGCCACACUGGGACUGAGACACGGCCCAG